AUGGCCGAUCUCCUCCACGCGCGCUUCCUCUCGCUCCCCUUGGCCCCGAACCCUAGCCCCGCCCUCCCCGCGAGCGGCGCGCGGCGGGUGCCCCCGGUCCCCGUGCCUCGCCAAGCUCCUCCUCGCCGGAGACCGAGUGGUGCCCGGUGCAGCCGGAGCAGCGCCCCGUGAAGUGUGAACGAGUACGAGGCGCUCGCGGCCUCCCUUCCCUUCUCCCGGGCGGCGGGGGACCUCCGAUCCUACUGCUCCCGCCUCGCGCUCACGGGCGCCGCCGUCGCGCUCUUCGUCGGGCUCCCCGUCGCCGCCUUCGGGGCACGCGGCGGGGCCGGCGGCGACGCUCUGCACCUCACGCUCGGCGCCACGGGGUCCGGGAUCCUCGCCGUCACGCUCGCGGUCAUGCGGAUGUACCUCGGGUGGGCCUACGUCGGCAACCGCCUGCUCAGCGCCACAGUGGAGUAUGAGGAGACGGGAUGGUAUGAUGGACAGGUCAAGCCUGUGGUAAACAGAGUGAAGUUCACCUUGGUGGGUCUGGCAGGCUCCCUCAUCCUUUGCAUUCUUCUUUACUUGGGAUGCGUACCGGUGGAAGGUCUAUCCCGGAAGUGUACAGUGACGUUGCCGCAAGGUCAUUUGGGCCUGAUGCGUUCUGUGGAGAAGCUGAUCUGUCGUAGCAUCGCAAAGCGUGGAGCAUGAGAAGUUUUUAGAUGGUGGUAUAUGGUCUCAUAGGGUAGGUAUACAAGUUCCCCUUUGUCUUGCCUUGUGGUUGGUGGAUGGUUCCAUUUCUGUACGGGGUUUUUUAUCCAUCAGUUACUGCA